rnacentral:rRNA from 1 species
GGUUAAGCGACUAAGCGUACACGGUGGAUGCCCUGGCAGUCAGAGGCGAUGAAGGACGUGCUAAUCUGCGAAAAGCGACGGCGAGGUGAUAUGAACCUUUGACCCGUCGAUGUCCGAAUGGGGAAACCCAGUGCAAUCCGUUGCACUAUCGUUAACUGAAUACAUAGGUUAACGAGGCGAACCGGGGGAACUGAAACAUCUAAGUACCCCGAGGAAAAGAAAUCAACCGAGAUUCCCCCAGUAGCGGCGAGCGAACGGGGAGCAGCCCGGAGUCUGAAUCAGCUUGUGUGUUAGUGGAACGGUCUGGAAAGUCCGACGGUACAGGGUGAUAGUCCCGUACACGAAAACACACUUGUUGUGAACUCGAAGAGUAGGGCGGGACACGUGGUAUCCUGUCUGAAUAUGGGGGGACCAUCCUCCAAGGCUAAAUACUCCUGACUGACCGAUAGUGAACCAGUACCGUGAGGGAAAGGCGAAAAGAACCCCGGCGAGGGGAGUGAAAAAGAACCUGAAACCGUGUACGUACAAGCAGUGGGAGCCUCUUUAUGGGGUGACUGCGUACCUUUUGUAUAAUGGGUCAGCGACUUAUAUUCUGUAGCAAGGUUAACCGUAUAGGGGAGCCGAAGGGAAACCGAGUCUUAACUGGGCGUUAAGUUGCAGGGUAUAGACCCGAAACCCGGUGAUCUAGCCAUGGGCAGGUUGAAGGUUGGGUAACACUAACUGGAGGACCGAACCGACUAAUGUUGAAAAAUUAGCGGAUGACCUGUGGCUGGGGGUGAAAGGCCAAUCAAACCGGGAGAUAGCUGGUUCUCCCCGAAAGCUAUUUAGGUAGCGCCUCGUGAAUUCAUCUUCGGGGGUAGAGCACUGUUUCGGCUAGGGGGCCAUCCCGGCUUACCAACCCGAUGCAAACUACGAAUACCGAAGAAUGUUAUCACGGGAGACACACGGCGGGUGCUAACGUCCGUCGUGAAGAGGGAAACAACCCAGACCGCCAGCUAAGGUCCCAAAGUCAUGGUUAAGUGGGAAACGAUGUGGGAAGGCACAGACAGCCAGGAUGUUGGCUUAGAAGCAGCCAUCAUUUAAAGAAAGCGUAAUAGCUCACUGGUCGAGUCGGCCUGCGCGGAAGAUGUAACGGGGCUAAACCAUGCACCGAAGCUGCGGCAGCGACACUAUGUGUUGUUGGGUAGGGGAGCGUUCUGUAAGCCGUUGAAGGUGGCCUGUGAGGGUUGCUGGAGGUAUCAGAAGUGCGAAUGCUGACAUAAGUAACGAUAAAGCGGGUGAAAAGCCCGCUCGCCGGAAGACCAAGGGUUCCUGUCCAACGUUAAUCGGGGCAGGGUGAGUCGACCCCUAAGGCGAGGCCGAAAGGCGUAGUCGAUGGGAAACAGGUUAAUAUUCCUGUACUUGGUGUUACUGCGAAGGGGGGACGGAGAAGGCUAUGUCAGCCGGGCGACGGUUGUCCCGGUUUAAGCAUGUAGGCGGAGGUUCCAGGUAAAUCCGGUACCUUUUAACGCUGAGGUGUGAUGACGAGGCACUACGGUGCUGAAGUGAUAAAUGCCCUGCUUCCAGGAAAAGCCUCUAAGCAUCAGGUAACACGAAAUCGUACCCCAAACCGACACAGGUGGUCAGGUAGAGAAUACCAAGGCGCUUGAGAGAACUCGGGUGAAGGAACUAGGCAAAAUGGUGCCGUAACUUCGGGAGAAGGCACGCUGAUAUGUAGGUGAAGUCCCUGCGGACGGAGCUGAAAUCAGUCGAAGAUACCAGCUGGCUGCAACUGUUUAUUAAAAACACAGCACUGUGCAAACACGAAAGUGGACGUAUACGGUGUGACGCCUGCCCGGUGCCGGAAGGUUAAUUGAUGGGGUUAGCGGCAACGCGAAGCUCUUGAUCGAAGCCCCGGUAAACGGCGGCCGUAACUAUAACGGUCCUAAGGUAGCGAAAUUCCUUGUCGGGUAAGUUCCGACCUGCACGAAUGGCGUAAUGAUGGCCAGGCUGUCUCCACCCGAGACUCAGUGAAAUUGAACUCGCUGUGAAGAUGCAGUGUACCCGCGGCAAGACGGAAAGACCCCGUGAACCUUUACUAUAGCUUGACACUGAACACUGGUCCUUGAUGUGUAGGAUAGGUGGGAGGCUUUGAAGCGUGGACGCCAGUCUGCGUGGAGCCAACCUUGAAAUACCACCCUUUAAUGGCUGGUGUUCUAACGUAGACCCGUAAUCCGGGUUGCGGACAGUGUCUGGUGGGUAGUUUGACUGGGGCGGUCUCCUCCCAAAGAGUAACGGAGGAGCACGAAGGUUGGCUAAUCCUGGUCGGACAUCAGGAGGUUAGUGCAAUGGCAUAAGCCAGCUUGACUGCGAGCGUGACGGCGCGAGCAGGUGCGAAAGCAGGUCAUAGUGAUCCGGUGGUUCUGAAUGGAAGGGCCAUCGCUCAACGGAUAAAAGGUACUCCGGGGAUAACAGGCUGAUACCGCCCAAGAGUUCAUAUCGACGGCGGUGUUUGGCACCUCGAUGUCGGCUCAUCACAUCCUGGGGCUGAAGUAGGUCCCAAGGGUAUGGCUGUUCGCCAUUUAAAGUGGUACGCGAGCUGGGUUUAGAACGUCGUGAGACAGUUCGGUCCCUAUCUGCCGUGGGCGCUGGAGAAUUGAGGGGGGCUGCUCCUAGUACGAGAGGACCGGAGUGGACGCAUCACUGGUGUUCGGGUUGUCAUGCCAAUGGCACUGCCCGGUAGCUAAAUGCGGAAGAGAUAAGUGCUGAAAGCAUCUAAGCACGAAACUUGCCCCGAGAUGAGUUCUCCCUGAGACUUUAAGUCUCCUGAAGGAACGUUGAAGACGACGACGUUGAUAGGUCGGGUGUGUAAGCGCAGCGAUGCGUUGAGCUAACCGAUACUAAUGAACCGUGAGGCUUAACCUU